AUCUGCCCGAAGUACCUAUGGACCCAGUCACCAUAGGCAGUGGCACAGCUUUUGUUUGCCCUUUCUCUGUCUUUCCUGGGAACAAGUCCAAACUCCUUCCUGUUUCCCUGUGCGCAGAGAGCCGUCUCAACAGAAAUAUGUCAAAAACAAUAUUCUUCUGAAAAAUUUGAUGUCCACUUCCAGAAAAGCCAGUCUCAGGUAAUUCCUAAGCUCUAACAAAAUGUGUGUGAUCUACAAAGAGAUAAAGAACAUCUUCUGUGAAGAGAACAAGCUCCUGCUGUGUUUGCUCUGCUCCAGCUCUCAGGAGCAAAGGGCUCAGGGACAUCCUUCUGUAGAAGGGGCUGUUGAGGAGUACCAGGACUUGGGAGGUCUAUUGACAAA
rnacentral:lncRNA from 1 species